rnacentral:rRNA from 2 species
UGCAAGUCGAACGAACUCUGGUAUUGAUUGGUGCUUGCAUCAUGAUUUACAUUUGAGUGAGUGGCGAACUGGUGAGUAACACGUGGGAAACCUGCCCAGAAGCGGGGGAUAACACCUGGAAACAGAUGCUAAUACCGCAUAACAACUUGGACCGCAUGGUCCGAGUUUGAAAGAUGGCUUCGGCUAUCACUUUUGGAUGGUCCCGCGGCGUAUUAGCUAGAUGGUGAGGUAACGGCUCACCAUGGCAAUGAUACGUAGCCGACCUGAGAGGGUAAUCGGCCACAUUGGGACUGAGACACGGCCCAAACUCCUACGGGAGGCAGCAGUAGGGAAUCUUCCACAAUGGACGAAAGUCUGAUGGAGCAACGCCGCGUGAGUGAAGAAGGGUUUCGGCUCGUAAAACUCUGUUGUUAAAGAAGAACAUAUCUGAGAGUAACUGUUCAGGUAUUGACGGUAUUUAACCAGAAAGCCACGGCUAACUACGUGCCAGCAGCCGCGGUAAUACGUAGGUGGCAAGCGUUGUCCGGAUUUAUUGGGCGUAAAGCGAGCGCAGGCGGUUUUUUAAGUCUGAUGUGAAAGCCUUCGGCUCAACCGAAGAAGUGCAUCGGAAACUGGGAAACUUGAGUGCAGAAGAGGACAGUGGAACUCCAUGUGUAGCGGUGAAAUGCGUAGAUAUAUGGAAGAACACCAGUGGCGAAGGCGGCUGUCUGGUCUGUAACUGACGCUGAGGCUCGAAAGUAUGGGUAGCAAACAGGAUUAGAUAC